AAAAAAAACAAGAAACGGUUUCUUUGUUUUUGUUUGAUAUCUUUCUACCAAUUUAACCCUUCUACAAGUGCCCACUUUGCACCUUUGAAGAAACAACAANNAACUAAGGGCAGCCCCAGAAAUAAAGAAUCCCAGCUUUGGACACAACUAAACACAACUUUGUUUAUGAACAGGUGGCAGUGAAUUACAGAAACAGAAAGGCAUCAUUCAUUGGAUAGCAAAAGCAAAAUCUCGUUAAGAGAUGAUGAUGAUGGGUUAUUCUCCAAGUCGCUAUCUAGCCAUGGAUUGCUUGUCUGAGCAACACUGCAACCCAAUUCAGAUAUAUCUCUUUCCAAUCUCUCUCUCUCUCUCUCACUAAAACCAUCUAGGAGCUCAACAUGCAAUCAAACAUAGAAAUAACAGACAAUAAGAUGGUUUUUCCUCUAAACCCUCCCUAUAUAACCCUCUUCUCUCUAUACAUCUCUACUUAGGGAUACCAAGAAAAUGAAAGAGAAAUUAUAUAUCAGGAGCUGGGUCUCUUGUAG
rnacentral:misc_RNA from 1 species